rnacentral:rRNA from 1 species
GUCGGGAGAGUAAAGUGGCGAACGGGUGAGUAAUACGAGGGUAAUCUAACCCUUAAACUUAGGGAUAACCUUGCGAAAGCGAAGCUAAUACCUGAUAAGACUACGAUCUUCUAGGAGAUAGUAGGAAAAGAUGGCCUCUGUUUCAUGCUAUUGUUUAAGGAUGAGCCCUUGCACUAUUAGCUUGUUGGUGAGGUAAUGGCCCACCAAGGCUACGAUGGUUAGCUGGUCUGAGAGGAUGACCAGCCACACUGGAACUGAGACACGGUCCAGACUCCUACGGGAGGCAGCAGUGAGGAAUAUUGCGCAAUGGGGGAAACCCUGACGCAGUGACGCCGCGUGAGUGAUGAAGGCUUUCGAGUCGUAAAGCUCUGUUAGGUGGAAAGAAAUAUUCCAGUGCCAAUACCACUGGGGUUUGACGGUACCACCAGAGGAAGCACCGGCUAACUCCGUG